rnacentral:pre_miRNA from 1 species
GCUGAAUUUUACGAGUGCCGCAUGUAAUGUAUGUCUUGUAGCACCAUGGAAUUCAGCUG